rnacentral:sRNA from 1 species
ACGGAAAUUCAAAUAAUCCGAAAGGAGU